CCUACGGGGGGCUGCAGUGGGGAAUAUUGGACAAUGGGGGGAACCCUGAUCCAGCCAUGCCGCGUGUGUGAAGAAGGCCCUCGGGUUGUAAAGCACUUUCAGUGAGGAAGAACGCCUGGUGGUUAAUACCCAUCAGGAAAGACAUCACUCACAGAAGAAGCACCGGCUAACUCCGUGCCAGCAGCCGCGGUAAUACGGAGGGUGCGAGCGUUAAUCGGAAUUACUGGGCGUAAAGCGCGCGUAGGUGGCUUGAUAAGCCGGUUGUGAAAGCCCCGGGCUCAACCUGGGAACGGCAUCCGGAACUGUCAAGCUAGAGUGCAGGAGAGGAAGGUAGAAUUCCCGGUGUAGCGGUGAAAUGCGUAGAGAUCGGGAGGAAUACCAGUGGCGAAGGCGGCCUUCUGGACUGAUACUGACACUGAGGUGCGAAAGCGUGGGUAGCAAACAGGAUUAGAUACCCGGGUAGUC
rnacentral:rRNA from 1 species